rnacentral:rRNA from 1 species
AUGUCUUCAUCCUCCGGCGCCGCUCAACCUAGCCUCAAUGGCCAGGUCACCGAGAAGCUCAAUCGCACGAACUACGUGCUGUGGCGCACGCAGGUCACACCCCACCUGCGGGGCGCCGGUGUCUUCGGCUACGUUAACGACACCGCGCCGGAGCUGGCCAGACUCCACGUCACCAAAGACAAGGACGACAAGGAGUCUUCUGAGCCCAACCCUCUCCACCCACUUUGGGUCCGGUAGGAUCAA